AUUGAACGCUGGCGGCAUGCCUUACACAUGCAAGUCGAACGGCAGCACGGGAGCAAUCCUGGUGGCGAGUGGCGAACGGGUGAGUAAUAUAUCGGAACGUGCCCAGUAGUGGGGGAUAACUGCCCGAAAGAGCAGCUAAUACCGCAUACGACCUGAGGGUGAAAGGGGGGGAUCGCAAGACCUCUCGCUAUUGGAGCGGCCGAUAUCAGAUUAGCUAGUUGGCGGGGUAAAGGCCUACCAAGGCAACGAUCUGUAGUUGGUCUGAGAGGACGGCCAGCCAAACUGGGACUGAGAACCGGCCCAGACUCCUACGGGGGGCAGCAGUGGGGAAUUUUGGAGAAUGGGCGCAAGCCUGGUCCAGCAAUGCCGCGUGCAGGAAGAAGGCCUUCGGGUUGUAAACUGCUUUUGUCAGGGAAGAAAUCCUCUAGGUUAAUACCCUUGGGGGGAUGACGGUACCUGAAGAAUAAGCACCGGCUAACUACGUGCCAGCAGCCGCCGUAACAC
rnacentral:rRNA from 1 species